rnacentral:rRNA from 1 species
GCCGACUUCCAUGGCCACCGUCCUGCUGUCUUUAGUUACUAACGCCUUUUGUGGGGUCCGAUAUGCGUUGAUUUUGGCACUAUAACUUUACGACCGGUUCAUCCCGCAUCGCCAGUACUGCUUACCAAAAAUGGCCCACUGAAGGCCUUUACUAUCUAUCCAUUUGCUACGUAGCACGCUAGCUAAUGGAAAACACACACAUUAACAGUUUGAGAAUAGGUUGAGAACGUUUCGAACCCAACGACUCUAAUCAUUCGCUUUACCGCAUGUGACUAUCGUUACUAGACCUCAGCUAUCCUUAGGGAAACUUCGAAAGGAACCAGCUACUAGAUGGUUCGAUUGGUCUUUCGCCCCUAUACAUAGUUCUGAUGAUCGAUUUGCACGUCAGAACCAUUGCGGACCUCCACCAGAGUUUCCCCUGGCUUCAUCCUUUCCAUGCAUAGUUCACCAUCUUUCGGGUUCCAGAGCACGAGCUACGAGUACGGCAGCGCCAUUGCUGACGCGUAAUUGCCAUCUCCGAUUUGCCUAGACGCCAUACGAUAUGUUUCGUUAAUAAUGCGUCUCAUCAUACAUAGUUGAGUAAACCGAACACAAGAAGUGCUGAUUUACUCUCGAUUGCUUUCGUUAAGUUUGACGGAUUCUAUAUAAUGAACCUUUGUGUCACGCUCGUUCGCUGGACUCCUUGGUCC